AUGAACGCUGGCGGCGUGGAUAAGGCAUGCAAGUCAAACGGUUCUAUUUUGCGAUUACAUCAAGAGAUAGCGCAGUGGCAAACGAGUUAGUAAUACCUUGGUUACGUACCCCGAAGUCGGGCAUAACGAGUCGAAAGAUUCAUUAAUUCCCGAUGGUAUAGAAAUAUUAAAGUCGCAAGACGCUUCGGGAGCGACCUAGGUCCUAUCAGCUAGUUGGCGGGGUAAUGGCCCACCAAGGCUAUGACGGGUAGGGGGUGUGAGAGCACGGCCCCCAACGAGGGAACUGAGACACGGUCCUUACAUCUACGGAUGGCUGCAGUCGAGAAUAUUCGACAAUGGACGAAAGUCUGAUCGAGCGACGCCGCGUGCAGGAAGAAGGCCUUCGGGUCGUAAACUGCUUUUGCGUGGGAAGAAUUUUGACGGUACCACGAGAAUAAGGGGUUGCUAACUCUGU
rnacentral:rRNA from 1 species